CGCUGGCGGCGUGCUUAACACAUGCAAGUCGAACGCGAAAGGGACUUCGGUCCUGAGUAAAGUGGCGCACGGGUGAGUAACGCGUAGAUAACCUGUCUUCAUGUCUGGAAUAAUACGCCGAAAGGGGUACUAAUACCGGAUAUUCUUGCUUUUCAUAAGUUAUGCAAGCAAAGGUGGCCUCUGCAUAUGCUACUGCAUGAAGAGGGGUCUGCGUACCAUUAGCUAGUAGGUGGGGUAAUGGCCUACCUAGGCGACGAUGGUUAGCGGGUCUGAGAGGAUGAUCCGCCACACUGGCACUGGAACACGGGCCAGACUCCUACGGGAGGCAGCAGUGAGGAAUAUUGCGCAAUGGGGGAAACCCUGACGCAGCGACGCCGCGUGAGUGAAGGAAGGCCUUCGGGUCGUAAAGCUCUGUCAAGAGGAAAGAAGUGUACAAUGGCUAAUACCUGUUGUAUUUGACGGUACCUCUAAAGGAAGCACCGGCUAACUCCGUGCCAGCCGCAGC
rnacentral:rRNA from 1 species